GUUUUAACCGAUCAAAAGUCAAUAUUUUGAUUUGAACCAAGUUUUAAAAUCAAUCCGACCGAUGUGACAAUAAAAGAUUAAUGAAGCUCAAGUCAGGGCCCUUUAUAGUUAGUUAAAUAAAAAAACAGCUAUUAAAGAUUGUGCUGAUUUGAUAAAGCGACAAAAUUUAUUGAAUUAAUCUUUUGCCAUUGCGAAUAUUGGCAUUAUUUUGAUUAUUAAAAACUAAAACGGAUUCUCAAUUCACUGUAUAUAUACAUGAAUGAAUACAACAAAUUUCAAUGGACUUCACACUGUAAUGAAAUUUUCAACAUUGUAUAGUAGUUAAUUGGAGUUAAAAAUUAAAAGCGCCCCGUUUAAAGUCUACUACAUAUUACUCCAUUUCGCAACAACAAAAACAUGGUGCAGCAAUUGAAGUAUUCGCCACGAGUCCGACAAUGGUCAUUCGGCGGUGAAACGGCCAAUAUUGUCAACAACGCAAAAAGUAACCCCUGUUUUAGAUUUGCUCCUAUCAGUCUUGGAACUAACGGACAAACAAAAUUAUGCAUCUGCAGCCCUUAUAGCCGCAAGUUACCCACUAAUUAAAGCCCUUUACGAGAACAGGUUUAAUGGAACGAAUGCAGUAGUUGAUUGUGCCUGAGAGAACGUGUAGUAUUAUCUUACGUCCGAAAAUGAGCAAUAUAUGCCACCGUUAGCCACCAAAAAACGAAUCAAAUGAUGAUUAUGAGCACGACAACGAAAGAAGAUUGCCAAGGAAAUUGACCGACAAGCAUGAAAACUGCAAGAAUAAGGCAAUGCCGUCGUUUUAGAAGGCCUCAUAGGCGUUUUAGAAGGCCUCAUAGGACAUAGAUUGUCGGUGGUAGAGAUGUGAUAGCGUAGUCCACGUGGAAGGGAUUUGACCAAUAAAUGUUAUUCACCCACUGGAUAGACUGGCAGUACAGGCGGCCUCGGCAGUCCCACGCCUUAAGGAGACGACCUUGAUACAUGUCGUGACGAAGACAACAAAAGCAAUCAUCAGUAGAUGCACAAUCAAAUGCAUUUGCAAACUGUGAUGAGAAGUCAUUCUAAUUUACAGCCACAAAUUUCUAAAUAAAAUUUCAAACUACUCAUCAUUACGCAGUAGUCAAGUUAACGAAGAAAAAUUGUAGCUCAGUAGCACAGCUCGAGUUAUUAGGAAUGCCAACAUUAGAAUGAAAAAUCAAAAGCAUUAAAGGCAAAACAACAAAUUUAACGUAUUCCUUUAUUUUUCAGACAAUUUUAUCAGCUUAAGGUUAACAAUAUAUGAGUUAAAUUAUUUUAUUUGUUACGUUUUGUUUUAUCCUCUAAUGCAUUAUAAAAACUCAAUUCAAUGUUCAAUAAAGAGUGGUUGGUAACAGUAAA